AGAAAAUAAUAUAAACGGGUUUGGAACAACACGAGGGUUGGGCCAAAGGCCAAGCUGCCACAACCAGAAGUAUUGGACCAGGCUCUUCUUUUAGUAGCUCAUGCAUGCACAAAGAAGACUGAUCUUAGUGAAAUAGUGUUGCAAAAUUUGCUUCAGAUGGGAUUACAGAAGGCUAGAUUUUGGAAAUGUAUGAAAGAUUAAUACGUGAAUGGGGAAAUGGCUUGCUUACGAAAGGACUACAUAAUUAUUCUUUCACGGUGAGCAAUGGAAGAGUCCCAGAGAUGGAGAAUCAGGAGCACACUUUGGCUGCAGAGUCGGCCCCGGCCGAGAGUGACCUUGAUUUGAUAGACACCGCUGAGUCUAUGUCUGGAACUUUUUUCUUUUUUUUGGUACCUGUAGAUGUGAAAUGUGAUCUCCGAUUGAUGGCCUUCUUAAAGAAACCACGAUAAGUGAAUUUUUCUCGCAUGUGUUUCUAUGGUGUAUUUCUGUUUACUAAGCCUAAGCUGCAACCGAAGCUUAGUGUAACGUAAGAUUAUCAGCAACGGGGUCACAUGAGGACUGUUAUCCAUGAGUUCAUCCACACAGGUCAUCCGUUUCCACCCAGUCUGGCCUUUUAUAAUCACACUGCGGUAUUCUGUGCACUAUAGGACUGUUUAUGAAUAAAUAACAAUUUGAGUUGUGAAACAUUUAAAAAGCUUAUUGCGGUUCUCUCUUGCUGGGCACUGGGCAUUUGUAAACCGACUGAUUUUCCAUCGACUUCAUUAAGGGGCUCUGUUGGAGCGUAAUUGGUGCGUCCCGAGGAGCGAGGUUAACAAAUCCUUCUGCUGUCCUUGUCCAUCAUCAGACUCGCAUAUUAAUUGAUAUGAAUGCGCAGGCACAGUCCCGUAUGCCGCAGAGAUGGGCUGAUGAGGCAUUGAGUGAACAAAAAAAAACACGGGCGAACAGGGAUAAAUACAGUCAUUAAGGAAUCCCGGCGUAAAUGAAAAUGGAUUGAUUUAUUUUAAUUGAUUGAAUAAAACACAACACUGCCGUAAUCUUUGCCGAGACAUUUGGAGGAGGACUAAACAUUUGUCAGUCUUUAUCUAUUUUCAAUUAGCUGGCUAUAAUGAUUAAUUGAGUGCUCAGAGUUAUGGAUGAGUUAAUUAGUGUAGAGAGCUCGUCUCAUUAGAGCAGAGUGGCAUACUCACCACAUGCUGCAAAUGCUGCUCAGGGUGGCACUUCUCUUUCUAUCUGCACGUGUCCACCUUCUUGAGAUUGCUCAUUAAUGACACACCACUGCUAGCCUUCGUCAACAUCACUACCUAGGGCACAGGGUGCAAUGGCUCAA